CGAAGCAACGCGAAGAACCUUACCAGAUCUUGACAUCAAUUGACCAUCUUUUAUCGAGAUUUUGCCUUCGGGUACAAUUGAGACAGGUGGUGCAUGGUUGUCGUCAGCUCGUGUCGUGAGAUGUUGGGGUUAAGUCCCGCAACGAGCGCAACCCUUGUGUUUAGUUGCAAACAGGCCAAGCUGUGCACUCUAGACAGACUGCCGUGGACAACACGGAGGAAGGUGGGGAUGACGUCAAAUCAUCAUGCCCCUUAUGAUCUGGGCUACACACGUGCUACAAUGGCCGGUACAACGGGCAGCGAAGGAGCGAUCCGGAGCGAAUCCUAAAAAGCCGGUCCCAGUUCGGAUUGCAGGCUGAAACUCGCCUACAUGAAGUUGGAGUUGCUAGUAAUCGCGAAUCAGAAUGUCGCGGUGAAUGCGUUCCCGGGUCUU
rnacentral:rRNA from 1 species